rnacentral:rRNA from 1 species
GACGAACGCUGGCGGCGUGCUUAACACAUGCAAGUCGAACGGACAGGCCCUGCUUUUGUGGGGUGCUCGAGUGGCGAACGGGUGAGUAACACGUGAGUAACCUGCCCUUGUCUUUGGGGUAACUUCAGGAAACUGGGGCUAAUACCGGAUAGGAGCUCCUGCUGCAUGGUGGGGGUUGGAAAGUUUCGGCUGUUGGGGAUGGACUCGCGGGUUAUCAGCUUGUUGGUGGGGUAGUGGCUUACCAAGGCUUUGACGGGUAGCCGGCCUGAGAGGGUGACCGGCCACAUUGGGACUGAGGUACGCCCCAGACUCGUACGGGAGGCAGCAGGGGAGAAUAUGGCGCAGUGAGCGGAAGCCUGAUGCAGCAGCGCCGCGUGCGGGAUAACGGCCUUCGGGGUGUAAACCGCUUUCGCCUGUGACGAAGCGUGAGUGACGGUAAUGGGUAAAGAAGCACCGGCUAACUACGUG